UACGUAGGGAGCAAGCGUUGUCCGGAAUCAUUGGGCGUAAAGCGCGCGUAGGUGGCCUCAUAAGUCCGCUGUGAAAGUCAAAGGCUCAACCUUUGAAAGCCGGUGGAUACUGUGGGGCUAGAGUACGGAAGAGGCGAGUGGAAUUCCUGGUGUAGCGGUGGAAUGCGCAGAUAUCGAGAGGAACACCUGCGGCGAAGGCGGGUUGCUGGGCUGACACUGACGCUGAAACGCGAAAGCUAGGGGAGCGAACGGG
rnacentral:rRNA from 1 species